rnacentral:rRNA from 1 species
UGGGGAAUAUUGGACAAUGGGGGCAACCCUGAUCCAGCAAUGCCGCGUGAGUGAAGAAGGCCUUAGGGUUGUAAAGCUCUUUUGCCCGGGAAGAUAAUGACUGUACCGGGAGAAUAAGCCCCGGCUAACUCCGUGCCAGCAGCCGCGGUAAUACGGAGGGGGCUAGCGUUGUUCGGAAUUACUGGGCGUAAAGCGUACGUAGGCGGUUUGCCAAGUAGGGGGUGAAAUCCCGGAGCUUAACUCCGGAAUUGCCUUCUAGACUGGCAGACUUGAGACCGAGAGAGGUAAGGGGAAUUCCGAGUGUAGAGGUGAAAUUCGUAGAUAUUCGGAAGAACACCAGUGGCGAAGGCGCCUUACUGGCUCGGCACUGACGCUGAGGUACGAAAGCGUGGGGAGCAAACA